rnacentral:rRNA from 1 species
AUUGAACGCUGGCGGCAGGCCUAACACAUGCAAGUCGAGCGAGUGGCGGACGGGUGAGUAAUGUCUGGGGAUCUGCCCGAUAGAGGGGGAUAACUACUGGAAACGGUGGCUAAUACCGCAUACUAUCGGAUGAACCCAUCUGGGAUUAGCUAGUAGGUGGGGUAAAGGCUCACCUAGGCGACGAUCCCUAGCUGGUCUGAGAGGAUGACCAGCAAAACUGGAACUGAGACACGGCCCAGAGUCCUACGGGAGGCAGCAGUGGGGAAGAUUGCACAAGGGGCGCAAGCCUGAUGCAGCCAUGCCGCGUGUAUGAAGAAGGCCUUAGGGUUGUAAAGUACUUUCAGCGGGGAGGCGUUACCCGCAGAAGAAGCACCGGCUAACUCCGUGCCAGCAGCCGCGGUAAUAC